CCUACAUGUGUCUUUAUGGGUGUCCUGACGAGACGUGGGAAUUAAAGGAACCUCCUGAUGUUCCCCACGAACUUCCUGAACCAAACAUAGGAAUUAACUUCGCCAGAGACGGGAUGCCAGAAAAGGAGUGGCUUGCUCAUAUUGCAAUCCACAGCGAUGCAUGGCUUUAUUCUUAUGCCUUCUAUAUUGCCAUACGCGCUGGCCUUGAUGCCGAGACCAGGCAGCAACUUUUCAAUAUGAUAAAUAGUAGUCCUACAAUAUAUGAGAUUGUAUCUGAAACUGUGAAGAUGCCCGCGAAGGAAGACACCUCCAGUGAGAGCAACAAGGAUAAAUCGAGCUCCUAAAAGUGUUCGAGAGUACGAGUUCUGGGGUGGCCUCUGCCUACGAUAGAAGAGGAAGAGGACGUCGAGGACGAAGCUGAACAGAUGGCCGCGGCAGCUAACCAUAGUAGCGUCACAUGUGGAAGAUGGUUUUCUGAUGAUACCGAGUACUGGAUAUUAUGCGACGUGUGAGGGAUAUGGUAUCAUGAAAACUGUGUCAGGGUGACACCUGAGUGUUAUAAACAACUCGAGCGCUACAGGUGCCCAAGAUGCCGCCGUCACAAGAGAGCGAGGACCUGAAACCUCCUCCGCUGUGACGGUGGGUAGAUUCAGCUUCAGAAAUACAAGAAAGAACCAUUCAUCGGUCAGCAAUAUUUCUUUGUUCAUCAGUUAGAUCACUAUUCAAUUCCGUGGCCACUCUUAGGGGUUCCUGAAUCCUGAUGCUUGCUUUUAGCCAUUUGCCCUCUCCUUGCCCCUAUGACCACAGUCGAUGGCUCCAGCGCUCUUUAAAUGGGCGUUCGUUGCUCCCCUCGCGACUUCCUCUUCUCUUCCCUUCAUCCAACUC